rnacentral:rRNA from 1 species
UGAGGAAUAUUGGUCAAUGGGCGAAAGCCUGAACCAGCCAAGUCGCGUGAGGGAAUAAGGCCCUAUGGGUCGUAAACCUCUUUUGCCGGGGAGCAAGAUUGGGGACGUGUCCCUGAUUGGAGAGUACCCGGAGAAAAAAGCAUCGGCUAACUCCGUGCCAGCAGCCGCGGUAAUACGGAGGAUGCGAGCGUUAUCCGGAUUUAUUGGGUUUAAAGGGUGCGUAGGCGGGCUCUUAAGUCAGCGGUAAAAUUGCGGUGCUCAACGCCGUAGAGCCGUUGAAACUGGGAGCCUUGAGUGAGCGAGAAGUAGGCGGAAUGCGUGGUGUAGCGGUGAAAUGCAUAGAUAUCACGCAGAACUCCGAUUGCGAAGGCAGCUUACCGGCGCUCAACUGACGCUGAGGCACGAAAGU